CUCAUAUAGGGGGUUGGAAAUGACCUGAAGGAGAACAGUUUCAAUGUAUUGGUAGACAUAUUAAAUGUGGAUGAUUUCUCCUUGAAGAAACUGGAAUGGUUGAAAGAAAUGUAAGCAAUACCUAAAGGAUCAGCUUAAUAGUUGGAGUGCUGCUCCCAGCCAUCGCCAGGAAAACUUGACAUGGUUGUCAAAAAAAAAAAAAAAAAAAAAAGGAAAAGGAAAAGAAAGAAAGAAAAAAGAAAAAGCCAGAAGAGGGAAAACCUUUUGUUAUGAAGGAGUUUGAGCAACCAGGAGUUUGAUGGCUCGCUAUGAUGUGCGCUGA